AAUGAACGCUGGCGGCAUGCCUAAUACAUGCAAGUCGAACGAACACAUCAGGAGCUUUCUCCCUUGACGUUAGCGGGGGACGGAUGCGUAACACGUGGGUAGAAUACCUCUCAGACUGGGAUGAUAUCGGGAAACCAGAUCUACUACCGGAUAAUAUUUCGAACCGGAUUGUUCCAUCGUUAAAGUUGCUUUUGGUAACAGUAAUAGCUGGACCCGGGCCCGAUUAGCUAGUUGGUAAGGUAACGGCUUAGCAACGCGACGAUACGUAGACGACCUGAGAGGGUGAUCGGCCACACUGGAACUGAGACACGGUCCAGACUCCUACGGGAGGCAGCAGUAGGGAAUCUUACGCAAUGGGCGAAAGCGUGAUGGAGCAACGCCGCGUGAGUGAUGAAGGUCUUCGGAUCGGAAAACUCUGUUAUUAGGGAAGAAGAAAAGUGUAAGUACCUGGGCACGUCUUGACGGUACCGAAACAGAAAGCUACGGCUAACUACGUG
rnacentral:rRNA from 1 species